rnacentral:rRNA from 1 species
ACGCUCGACACCUACGGGAGCAGCAGUGGGGAAUAUUGCACAAUGGGGGAAACCCUGAUGCAGCGACGCCGCGUGAAGGAAGAAGUAUUUCGGUAUGUAAACUUCUAUCAGCAGGGAAGAAGAAAGUGACGGUACCUGACUAAGAAGCCCCGGCUAACUACGUGCCAGCACGCCGGACGGUUAAUCUGAGGCCGGGCGUGGACGAAGGC